UUAUGCCUUUAAUUGGUUGUUGUUUGAUGAGCAAUUUAUACAGAACAUGUCUCCAGUCUAUUUUUUGUAAAUGUGCUGUGUGAUGAAGUGCGUUAUCGCGUCAGUUUUUAGAACUUCAUCGUCUCACUUUAUGGAUUGUUAACUUGGCACUGUAUUUUAUUUCAAUGGUUACGUUUUCUGAUGCUGACCAAUGUUUUAUGCAGAUUUUUUUAUUUAAACAGGCAUAUUAAGAUUCAGAGACGCUCAGCUUUACUUGGAAAAAGUUGUUGCAACAAAUUCCACUGCCCAGUGUUUUUAAAAGGACCAGAUGGCACAGGUUGAAUGCACACCUUCCAAUUCACUUCAGAAAGGCAGAUGUUCAUAGAGUAAAUUGACAAGCAAAAUCAUACCAAUUUCCAAUGGAAGCUGAUUGAAAACAAGAAUGUCCACAACAGCUGGCCGGUUCUAUUGAUUGUGGGAUCUUCAUGUUGUUGUCGGAUGACUUUGCAACAACCAAAAGUCUUCAGAGUUUUAGUGGAAGAGCCGUGCUUUCUAAAAUUGAAAGAGGAAGACCAGGAAAAAGGCCUUCUUCAGCUUUCACAGUCUGAAAUCGAUGAUG